rnacentral:rRNA from 1 species
UACGUAGGGGGCAAGCGUUGUCCGGAUUUAUUGGGCGUAAAGAGCGUGUAGGCGGCUUGGCAAGUCCGCUGUGAAAACUCGAGGCUCAACCUCGAGACGUCGGUGGAAACUGCCUGGCUAGAGUCCGGAAGAGGAGAGUGGAAUUCCUGGUGUAGCGGUGAAAUGCGCAGAUAUCAGGAAGAACACCCGUGGCUAAGGCGGCUCUCUAGUACGGUACUGACGCUGAGACGCGAAAGCGUGGGGAGCGAACAGG